rnacentral:rRNA from 1 species
GGUUCGAUUAUGGCUCAGAUUGAACGCUGGCGGGAUGGGCCUACACAGCAUGCAAGUCGAACAGCAGCACGGACUUCGGUCUGGUGGCGAGUGGCGAACGGGUGAGUAAUGUAUCGGAACGUGCCUGGUAGCGGGGAUAACUACGCGAAAGCGUAGCUAUCUGCAUACGCCCGCUCAGAGAGAAACAGAGGGUGCCCCCAGGCCUCGCACUCCUUAAACAGCCGUAUCGGGAUUAGCUAGUUGGUGGGGGUAACGGCUCACCAAGGCGACGAUCCGUAGCUGGUUUGAGGACGACCAGCACACUGGGACAAGGACGGCCCAGACUCCUGCAGGAGGCAGCAGUGGGGAAUUUGGACCGUGGGGCUCUGGUCCAACCAUCCCGCGUGUGCGAUGAAGGCCUUCGGGUUGUAAAGCAUAUGGCGGAAAAACGGCACAGGAUAAUACCCCGUGCAACUGACAUUCCCAAGAUAUUUCCGGCUAACUACGUGCCAGCAGCCGCGGUAAUACGUAGGGUGCAAGCGUUAAUCAGAUCUACUGGGCGUGGCGGUACCAGGCCAGUUCGAAGAAAAGAUGUAAAUCGGCUUAACUUUGGAACACCACAUUUUAACUGCCCGAGCUAGAGUGUGUCAGAGGGAGGUGGAAUUCCGCGUGUAGCAAUGAAAUGCGUAGAUAUGCGGAGGGAACACCAAAAUGUGAAGGCAGCUUAUCCCUGGGAUAACAACAGCGCUCUUCAGCGUGGGGAGCAAACGGGAUUAGAUACCCUGGUAGUCCACGCCCUAAACGAUGUCAACUAGCUGUUGGGGCCUUCGGGCCUUGGUAGCGCAACUAACGCGUGAAGUUGACCGCCUGGGGAAGUACGGUCGCAAGAUUAAAACUCAAAGGAAUUGACGGGGACCCGCACAAGCGGUGGAUGAUGUGGAUUAAUUCGAUGCAACGCGAAAAACCUUACCUACCCUUGACAUGUCUGGAAUCCCGAAGAGAUUUGGGAGUGCUACCGAGAACCAGGGCCUGGGUGCUGCAUGGCUGUCGUCAGCUCGUGUCGUAGAUGUUGGGUUAAGUCCGCAACGGCACAACCCUUGUCAUUAGUUGCUACGAAGGGCACUCUAAUGGGGCUGCCGGUGACAAACCGGAGGAAGGUGGGGAUGACGUCAGGUCCUCAUGGCCCUUAUGGGUAGGGCUUCACACGUCAUACAAUGGUCGGGACAGAGGGUCGCCAACCCGCGAGGGGGAGCCAAUCCCAGAAGCCAAAUCGUAGUCCGGGUCACGGUCUACCGCUCGACUGCGUGAAGUCAGAAUCGCUAAUGUAAUCGCUGAGGAUCAGCAUGUCGCGGUGAAUGGUCCCGGGUCUUGUACCUGCCGUCACCAUGGGAGUGGGUUUUACCAGAAGUAGUUAGCCUAACCGUAAGGAGGUACUACGGUAGGAUUCAUGACUGGGGUGAAGUCGUAACAAAGGUAAUACUUCGGUGUCGGGGGAGCA